AAUCAACGCUGGCGGCGUGCCUCAGACAUGCAAGUCGAACGCGAAAGUCCCCUUCGGGGGAUGAUUAGAGUGGCGCACGGGUGAGUAACACGUAGGUAAUCUACCUUCGAGUGGGGAAUAACUCAGGGAAACUUGAGCUAAUACCGCAUAAUGCAGCGGCACCACAUGGUGACAGUUGUUAAAGCAUUUAUGCGCUUGAAGAGGAGCCUGCGGCGGAUAGCUAGUUGGUAAGGUAAUGGCUUACCAAGGCUACGAUCUGUAACCGGCCUGAGAGGGCGGACGGUCACACUGACACUGAAUAACGGGUCAGACUCCUACGGGAGGCAGCAGUCGGGAAUUUUGGGCAAUGGGCGAAAGCCUGACCCA
rnacentral:rRNA from 1 species